rnacentral:rRNA from 1 species
UGGGGAAUCUUGGACAAUGGGGGCAACCCUGAUCCAGCGAUGCCGCGUGAGCGAAGAAGGCCUUAGGGUUGUAAAGCUCUUUCGCCCGCGACGAUGAUGACGGUAGCGGGAGAAGAAGCCCCGGCUAACUCCGUGCCAGCAGCCGCGGUAAUACGGAGGGGGCUAGCGUUGUCCGGAAUUACUGGGCGUAAAGCGCGCGUAGGCGGUCCACCAAGUCGAGGGUGAAAGCCCGGGGCUCAACGCCGGAAUGUCCUCCGAGACUGUUGGACUGGAGUUCGGGAGAGGAGCGCGGAAUUCCCAGUGUAGAGGUGAAAUUCGUAGAUAUUGGGAAGAACACCGGUGGCGAAGGCGGCUCUCUGGCCCGCAACUGACGCUGAGGCGCGAAAGCGUGGGGAGCAAACAG